UAUUCACCAUGGAUGAGAUUUGAUUUUAUUCCAUUCUAUUCAAUUCAAGGUUAUCAGAUCCCUUCCUGUGCUCUCCUGUCCCAUCCCAACUCAUCUUUUCCAUCUGUCUCAUUCUAUCUGUAACAUUGCCUGUGGAUUUCAUGUCUGAUAUAAGUGGACUACCAGGAACUGGAUUUAUCCUACCACUGAAAACAACUAAAAAUAAUGGAUAAAAUAUAUGAAACAACAGCUUUCAAGGUAUUGAACAUAAAAAGAAUAGUGAUCCUGAAGAGAUGGAUAACAAAUGAGGAUAGUUGACCAAUGAUUCCAGCUGUCUGAAACUGAAUUUACCACAUCUGCAUCAUUAUGGAAAAGACAGCCCAACCGGAAAACAACAGCAUUACAAUGACAUUAUAAUGAGGAGCUAUAU